CAUAAUAUAUGCAAAAUUUAAUUCAUCCAAAGCGAACCACCUUUUCAUCAUAAUCUGUUGUUGGUUUUGUGGAUAUAAUAAUUUUCAGCACAAAUCCUUAUUGUCCCAGAGAUUUAUAGGAACCGGACCUCUUUUAUAAGCACAUUUUGAUAAUCCUUUUGCCUGAUUUCUUCCCAUUAAAAAGAAAUAUAUAUAUUGCUAAUAUCCCACGCAUGUAGACUUCAAAUGAAAUAGACAGGCACCGAAAGAUUCACCUUAACCUUCAGGUUGAAAUUAUCAAUGCAGUUUUCUUUGAUAAUGCAUAAAGAGAACAUGAUCGUUUCCAAGGCACCGCCCACCAGUUGUUUGUUGUUUUGUCAGUUAUAUAUAAACCAUCUCCCUAGACUCCAAUUGCUUUUUCUCAAGCACGGUCGUUGACAUUGCUAGCUAGGAGGGGCCACAUAUACGUGUUGAUAUUCCAACACCAGCAAGCAGCAUUGGCAUUGCCCUUCGCCAUCCAAAUUGCGGAUAUGGGGCUAUUGCCUUUAUGUGGUUCAAAAGGUUUCCAAUAAAAAGAAAACAACUGCGCAUGUUCUUCAGCCCUUGGAGUGUACUGUCUAGAAAGAAAACUAAUAAAAAGGUGGUGGUGCCUACCUUUUGUCCAUCUUAACUUUUUGCUUUCCAAUAUUCUCUUCCUAGAACCACACAUAGACUUUGAAAAUUAAAUCAUUCACAAAAGUAACCACUCAUUUAGAGGAGUCAUUGCAAGCAAUUCAACAAAUAAAGUUCGCUCAUAGUGGCUCGACUAGAGUUAUCUUAGGAUAAUUUCACUUCCCGGAAAAGAGAAAUUAAUCAGUCUACUUUAAUUUAUCAUAAAUUCAUUGUUUUUUUUAACGAAAAAUGUGAGUUCAUUCAUUAUUUAUUUUAUUUGACUUUGAAAAGGUAAAUGAGUUUUAAUAUUGAUUUUAGUAUAUGCAAUUUCAAAUUACCAUUUGGUAUCAGAUUUUGUGACUCUCGGUAUUCUUAAACUCGUGUCUUUAUCAAUUUUCUUGUUGAAACAAAAUUCGAGUGCCGCAAAAUUGUUCUUCCCCAGAAAAAUUACAUUGUUUAAUUCCAGAUAAGGGGUAAAAAAUAUUUUUAGUAGAAAAAAUAAAACAAUAUUCUAUAGUUGGAAUUUAGUGCCCAAAAUUUCUAGAUCUUAAAUUCAUUAAUUGUGGAAGCAUCCCAUAAAAUUUUAUGAUUUUAGUACGCC
rnacentral:lncRNA from 1 species